AGAAAAAAGAAAAAAGAAAAAAAAGCAGUAGCCUUUAUGUCAUUGUUGCUAGUUUUAGACAUUAAGCAACAUCAGCAAUCAUUUCUGGAAGUUACUGUUUGUAUUGUUGACAUCAUAUAUAAGAUGCAGGUUAUUUCAGCUGACCAGAAUAAAAUGAAAAGCAUAGGUUUAAAAAGAUAUACAUUUGUAGAACAAGAAAAAAAAAACCAAAGGAUUAAUACAAACAAAUUUGCAAGAUACAAAAGAAGAGAAAUAAAAAAAUUCUCAAUAUUUUUAUUAAUUCCAAUGAUAAUCAUAAUAAUAAUAAUCUUUGAAUAUGUAAAUAUCCUAGACCCAAAUUAUGGAUCUAUACAACUCUAAUCACAUUAGGAUUACCAACCCUGUUCAAUUCUAAUUAUGAAAAACUUCCUAAAUAAUAAUAAUAAUAAU
rnacentral:misc_RNA from 1 species